GAGGAAUAAGCCACCGAAAGGUGGUCUAAUACUUCAUAAUAUCCAUCUCGUAUGGAUUAAAGCUUUAUGCGCUUUGGGAGGGGCCUGCGUAACAUUAGCCUGUUGGUGAGGUAAAAGCUCACCAAGGCUUCGAUGUUUAACUGGUUUGAGAGGAUGACCAGUCACACUGGGACUGAGAUACGGCCCAGACUCCUACGGGAGGCAGCAGUAAGGAAUCUUCCACAAUGGGGCAACCCUGAUGGAGCAAUACCGCGUGCAGGAUGAAGCGUUUCGGCGUGUAAACUGCUUUUAUCACCGAAGAUUAUGACUGUAGGUGAAGAAUAAGGACCGGCUAACUACGUG
rnacentral:rRNA from 1 species